rnacentral:rRNA from 1 species
GCUGGGGGCAGCUAACACAUGCAAGUCGAGCGGAAACGAUCCUAGCUUGCUAGGAGGCGUCGAGCGGCGGACGGGUGAGUAAUGCAUAGGAAUCUGCCCGGUAGUGGGGGAUAACUUGAGGAAACUCAAGCUAAUACCGCAUACGCCCCAAGGGGGAAAGCAGGGGAUCUUCGGACCUUGCGCUAUCGGAUGAGCCUAUGUCGGAUUAGCUAGUUGGUGAGGUAAUGGCUCACCAAGGCCGCGAUCCGUAGCUGGUCUGAGAGGAUGAUCAGCCACAUCGGGACUGAGACACKGCCCGAACUCCUACGGGAGGCAGCAGUGGGGAAUAUUGGACAAUGGGCGAAAGCCUGAUCCAGCCAUGCCGCGUGUGUGAAGAAGGCCUUCGGGUUGUAAAGCACUUUCAGCGAGGAAGAACGCUUGUGGGUUAAUACCCUGCAAGAAGGACAUCACUCGCAGAAGAAGCACCGGCUAACUCCGUGCCAGCAGCCGCGGUAAUACGGAGGGUGCAAGCGUUAAUCGGAAUUACUGGGCGUAAAGCGCGCGUAGGCGGCUUGAUAAGCCGGUUGUGAAAGCCCCGGGCUCAACCUGGGAACGGCAUCCGGAACUGUCAGGCUAGAGUGCAGGAGAGGAAGGUAGAAUUCCCGGUGUAGCGGUGAAAUGCGUAGAGAUCGGGAGGAAUACCAGUGGCGAAGGCGGCCUUCUGGACUGACACUGACGCUGAGGU